rnacentral:rRNA from 1 species
GUCCACGCCGUAAACGAUGGAUGCUAGCCGUUGGCAAGCUUGCUUGUCGGUGGCGCAGCUAACGCAUUAAGCAUCCCGCCUGGGGAGUACGGCCGCAAGGUUAAAACUCAAAGGAAUUGACGGGGGCCCCGCACAAGCGGUGGAGCAUGUGGUUUAAUUCGACGCAACGCGAAGAACCUUACCAAGCCUUGACAUGUCCGGACGGUUUCCAGAAAUGGAUUCCUCCCAGCAAUGGGUCGGAACACAGGUGCUGCAUGGCUGUCGU